UAUGGGAAAAAUAUGUUCUAUUCAGAGAAAGUAGCAAUUGAGAAGUCCUGAAAUGGUUUAAACUUUUUAUAUUCUAGGAAUAACAGAGGCCCAUGUGACCAGAACAGAGUGAAAGAUAGAGAAGAGGUUAUUAAAUAACUGGGAAUAAAAGGGUUGUUUCCAGAUGGAUUUCCUUCUUGCAAGCUAUGCUAUGAGCUCUACUCCUAGAAGGUAAAGGGCUAGGGAUAUUGAUCCAUCACCAAAAGCCUAGGAGGAAAGAAUGGUUUCUACAGGAUUAACCAAAAAAACAUUUGUCUCCUGAACCUGAAUCCCAUUUGGAAAAUCUCACAAGUCAUAGAUGGCUGAUUUGAUGGCAGGAGAGAGAAUGAAAAGACUUAGACCCAGGAUAAAUAAUUGAGGAUCCACACAAACCUGGGACCCUUAAAAGACUACACACAGCCAGUGAAAAGGAAGUCUGAAAAUAAAUCUACUUAUUGCACUAAGGAGAUAACGAGGAACUAAGUCUGUGGUGAUCUUCAACCUGGAAUAAAUUUCAGAGGCUGUUUGGUAUCAAGAAUGGAUCCAGCCUUACAGCUCUGGAAGCUGUUUGGCUCUUCAGAGAAAUACGCUGAAGCCCAAAAGCUAUUCCGUGAAAACAUAAUUAGGGAAGUCCUGUUCAAUCAUUCACUGUCAUUAAGUGAAUUAAAGCUUGUAUGAACAGUACAUCCUGCCCUAUUUAAUUGAGGAGAGUAAGUAUAUUCACUGACGUAAGCAACAAAUGAAAUUUGCAUGGCGCAGGGAUUCAGAUGUGAUAUGGUUUCCUUUCAAACUAUGUAUGUAGGGGCACCUGGAUGGCUCAGUCAAUUGAGCAUUUUGAUUUUGGCUCAAGUCAUGAUCACUUGGUUGUGAGACUGAGCCCUGCGUUGGGCCCCAUGCUGAGUGUGGAGCCUGCUUGGAAUUCUCUCUCCCCCCUCCCUCUCUCUCUGCAUCUCUCUGUCUGUCUCUCUCACACACAAAAUAAAUAAUAAAAAAUAAACAAUGUAAAAAAGAUAACAAAAUAAAAGAUGUGUGUAAAGAGAGAAGCAAUUACAAAUCAUGAAAGUGAAAAUAGGACAUAAAUAGGCUAAACAGGGCAAUUUGGCAUUUGUAUUUUUACUAGUAAUCUAAAAAGGCAUUAAUGUGGCUAUAUAGGAACAUUACCUAAACUACAAAGAAGAAACCUUCAACAAGCAUCUGUGAGAGAGUAGGGACACUAAACUAAGGAUAUAAUUAAGGGGAGAUUAUCCAUAAUGCGUGACUCUUAAAAGAUGCCAAAAAAACCUCUCCUUUGAAAUGAAAUUUAGAAAAGAAUUAUAAAACUUGUGUAUAAUACAAUGACAGCAUAGGGCCCAACAUGGGCUUAGAGAAUACUGUCAUUGUAUAAUCAUAGUAGUACUUGGUACAACUCAGCUAUGUAGUGUGUAUGUAGUGGUUAGGUUGUCAUAAAAUUAUUAAACAGCUGUUACAUAUGAGAAAGUAAUACACUUUCAUGCUUGAGAAGCAGAAGCAAAAAAGGAUAAAGCAUGCCGUGGCACAAGGUAGAAUGACGUGGCCCAGGAGGGUAGCUAAAGGAAGCAAACCUACCAGUUUGCUGCUAACAAUACAAAAAUAAGUAGAUCACACUAUGGGCAAAGAGGCAAAG